GGGAACUCCUUUAGGUCAGGGAUCAUGGUCUUAGCUCCGAGUCGCAAUGCUCUGUGCAGUGACUGGUACAUGACAGGUGCCAAAUUCAUGUACACUGAGUUGAACUAUAGACCCUUCUACAGCAUCUCUGCUUCCAAGUAUAGGCUUCAGCUGGGCAGAGGGGCUGUGGGUCCUACCUGGGUGUCAUUCUUCAGUGCAGCGAGGAUUCUUGACCGCAGCGUCUGGCUAAGGGGCUGAGACAGGAGCAGGACAGUGAAGAUGGCUGCGAAAGCAGGGGAUUUCUGCUCCAAGCGCUCCCCGUCCUCCAUCGAAUGAUGUAGGUUUCACACAGAUCCUUUCCACUCUGCUCUCAAGGGAUGCGAAAGAUUCGGAUGUCAGCUUUCCUCCCGAAGGGUUUCAGAAUCAGACUGAUUGCUCUGUCUCGGCCAGUACCUUCCAGAUUCUCUCAGAGGGACCUCCUGAUGGUGUUCAGAUGGAAGGUGUCAGUGUUUCACAGCAAACGCAAUAACGAGGCCCCAUGCUUCCCAAGAACCAUUAAAUUCAACUGGAUUUCAGCAACUGGUGAGGUUACCUCAGCAAAGGCUUGUUUACAUGCGGCUUGAAACGGGUUCCCCUCUGAGCAGUUCAGCACAUUGUCAAACCAGUCUUGACUUGAAAGACAUAUGGCAUCAGCAUGGAAGAUGUCAUGUAAGUUGCCCCCACCCCCACCCCCAAGAUUUUCGAAAGAUGUUACAUCCUGCAUCUGGGGCCUGCAGAGCUGAGGUGGUGGAGAGCAGGCAGCUCUGCAGGGGAAGCUGCCAGGGGGCCGGAGACCCCAUCUGGAGAAGGUCCUGAGCUGGUUUCUGUGGAGCAAAUGAAGGAGAAAAACAACUGACCGGGCGGGGGGUGGGAAGACAAAGCAGGCGACGGGAAACGUUGGUUUUAUGGAGCUUGCAAACCUGAACUCAAAUAUUAAAAAUGCUUUCAUCAGUCUCCUUAAUCCAGAGAAAUUCUUUUUGGCUUAGAUGGGAGGAAAAAUCAGUCCCUUAAGGGGAAAGCGAGAGGAGAAGGAGGUAAGGAUAUGAGUCAGAUUCACGGAAUUGCCGGCAAAUGACUUCGUUUUAGGAGGUGGAGGGGGACUGUUCGCAGCUGAUCCAAUG